GACCACCACUGCAUUUUAAAACUGAAGAAUGGAUAUUGGAUGUAUGAUUAUGAUUAAAUCUCAAAUGAGACAUAUUUAUUUGGUCAUAUUCACAUAAUGAGUACAUGAAAUGAUGUUAUUGUGUGGUGUUGGUUGGUCGUAAUGUAUGAGUUAGUGGUUAAAAUGAACUUGUUUCAAAGAAGUGAAUGACCACUCCACGAUUUCCUCAAGAACCUUGCGAUGGUAACAAACUGUAACAUUCACCUCUUCUAAGAUAGUUUUGGAGACUGGAUUUGAAGUCAAAUGAGAGUAACAGACACAAACACACAAAAGAAAUAUUGAAUUUAUUACUAACUUGCAAGUUGCAAUAACAAUUGUUUCGUUCAUCCUCCAAGUGUUCGCUUCAACUU